AGUAAUCCACCUGGGGAGUACGACCGCAAGGUUGAAACUCAAAGGAAUUGACGGGGGCCCGCACAAGCAGUGGAGUAUGUGGUUUAAUUCGACGCAACGCGAAGAACCUUACCAAGUCUUGACAUCCUGCGACGGUGCUGGAAACAGAACUUUCCUUCGGGACGCAGAGACAGGUGGUGCAUGGUUGUCGUCAGCUCGUGUCGUGAGAUGUUGGGUUAAGUCCCGCAACGAGCGCAACCCUUAUGGUCAGUUACUACGCAAGAGGACUCUGGCCA
rnacentral:rRNA from 1 species